GAUGAACGCUGGCGGCGUGCCUAAUACAUGCAAGUCGAGCGAACAGACGAGGAGCUUGCUCCUUUGACGUUAGCGGCGGACGGGUGAGUAACAUGUGGGUAACCUACCUAUAAGACUGGGAUAACUUCGGGAAACCGGAGCUAAUACCGGAUAAUAUUUCGAACCGCAUGGUUCGAUAGUGAAAGAUGGCUUUGCUAUCACUUAUAGAUGGACCUGCGCCGCAUUAGCUAGUUGGUAAGGUAACGGCUUACCAAGGCAACGAUACGUAGCCGACCUGAGAGGGUGAUCGGCCACACUGGAACUGAGACACGGUCCAGACUCCUACGGGAGGCAGCAGUAGGGAAUCUUCCGCAAUGGGCGAAAGCCUGACGGAGCAACGCCGCGUGAGUGAUGAAGGUCUUCGGAUCGUAAAACUCUGUUAUUAGGGAAGAACAAACGUGUAAGUAACUGUGCACGUCUUGACGGUACCUAAUCAGAAAGCCACGGCUAACUACGUG
rnacentral:rRNA from 1 species